CUAUCAGAUAUCAUGUUAUUACCACGUCAUCAUCGAACUGGUCUUAGAUUUUGGGGUUUAACAAAAAAAAAAAAAGGAUCCAAUUCAAGCUAUGUCACGUGUAGGAAGCGUAAACUUUUGAUCUUCUCCGACUGAUCAAGAUCUCUCCACUUCGCCGUUACUGUAACUCACUUUCAAGAAUCUAUUAUGCUCUUUAAACCUUCUUUAAUGGUUUCGUUCCACUUCCCCUCUUUCUCAUUCUAUAUAGAGAGAUUCAUGUCAUAAUAAAUCCAUUUCUAAUCGAAAACCUCCACUGAAGAAGCUACAGCUACAGCCAUUAAAUCCACCUGGAAUUCACGAGUUGUGAACUCCUGGUACAGAAGCUUCUUACUGAUGGAAAAUCCGGUACCGUCCCAUCACAAGAAAACACUGAGAUGUUUAGAGAGGCUACGAAAUCAAGGCUGAAGAUGUUGAUGUGAACCCUAAGAUGACGUUGCGCUUACGUCAGCCCACAACAACCAUAAGUUUAUUCCCUUGUGAAGCUUCCAUGGCGGCGGCUCAAAGAUUUAAUCUGUUUCCUCUGCAAGCUUUUCUACCUCAUCUUCCUGUCUCUCCAAAUGUGUGAGGGAAUGAAAACAUAUGUGUGGUUCAUACGCCAGCCAUUCAUAGCUUUAAGACAGAAGAAGUACUGAAAAAUGAAGUUAAGAAGAGAGACCUUUUUAUAACCUUUGCCUUCGCUUUCUUCAAGAGUGAGACUCUUUGUAUUAUGCACAAUGAAGUAUAUGAAGAGAAACAGAACGCAUAUCACCCAAAUCCACAGAUCAAUACUCAAGCUCCUGCAGAAAAAAAUACCAUCCGAGAACUAAAUGGGUAAUAUCUAGAGGGAGCGUCUCGAUAGAUCUGCAGUGCGGGUCCAAGCCAUGUUCAGGUCUAUGAAAGUUCAAGACGAUGAAGCUCAUUUGGAGUAUGAGUUUGCAAGAUAUUUGGUCAGAAUGGCGGCUAAGAGAUGUGAAUCUAAGAGAAUUUGGUGUCGAGAUUAUAUUAACGGGAAGGGUACUCACCACCUCCGAAACUGGCUUUGGAUCAAAUAUUAUAAUGAUAUAAUCAAAUAGUUGAAGAUAGACUACUGGUUUUUGUCUUUUUGUUGAAACAGCUUCUCAGACUUGAGAUCAAGAAAGAACUAGCUCAAAUAUUUGAGAGAGCAAAGUCUGUGGAUCUGUAUCCUACAGAACCAUGGUUUCUAGCAAGUUUCUGUUCUGGAACUUUGUGUAUUUGGAACUACCGGACAUAUAUGGGUGAAUAAUUUUAUUUUCUUUCUGUUUUCAUAUGCACUAUUAUUAAAUGGAAAAAAGUUGCGAUGAGUAAUGAUCAAAAGUGC